GUCUACGGCCAUGCUACCCUGAACAAGCCCGAUCUCGUCUAAUCUCGGAAGCUAAGCAGGGUCAGGCCUGGUUAGUACUUGGAUAGGAGACCACUUAGGAAGACCAAGUUCUGUAGGCA
rnacentral:rRNA from 1 species